AUUGAACGCUGGCGGCAUGCCUUACACAUGCAAGUCGAACGGCAGCACGGGAGCAAUCCUGGUGGCGAGUGGCGAACGGGUGAGUAAUGUAUCGGAACGUACCUUUCAGUGGGGGAGUAACGUGGCGAAGUUAACGCUAAUACCGCAUAUUCUGUGAGCAGGAAAGCAGGGGAGUCGCAAGACCUUGCGCUGAUUGAGCGGCCGAUAUCAGAUUAGCUAGUUGGUGAGGUAAAGGCUCACCAAGGCGACGAUCUGUAGCGGGUCUGAGAGGAUGAUCCGCCACACUGGAACUGAGACACGGUCCAGACUCCUACGGGAGGGCAGCAGUGGGGAAUUUUGGACAAUGGGCGCAAGCCUGAUCCAGCCAUGCCGCGUGAGUGAAGAAGGCC
rnacentral:rRNA from 1 species